GACGAACGCUGGCGGCGUGCUUAACACAUGCAAGUCGAGCGGUAAGGCCCUUUCGGGGGUACACGAGCGGCGAACGGGUGAGUAACACGUGGGUGACCUGCCCUCAGCUCUGGGAUAAGCCUGGGAAACCGGGUCUAAUACUGGAUAUGACUCCAUGACGCAUGUUGUGGGGUGGAAAGCCUUGUGCGGCUGAGGAUGGGCCCGCGGCCUAUCAGCUUGUUGGUGGGGUGANGGCCUACCAAGGCGACGACGGGUAGCCGGCCUGAGAGGGCGACCGGCCACACUGGGACUGAGACACGGCCCAGACUCCUACGGGAGGCAGCAGUGGGGAAUCUUGGACAAUGGGCGCAAGCCUGAUCCAGCCAUGCCGCGUGUGUGAAGAAGGCCU
rnacentral:rRNA from 1 species